GCUCAGAUUGAACGCUGGCGGCAUGCCUUACACAUGCAAGUCGAACGGUAACAGGUCUUCGGACGCUGACGAGUGGCGAACGGGUGAGUAAUACAUCGGAACGUGCCCAGUCGUGGGGGAUAACUACUCGAAAGAGUAGCUAAUACCGCAUACGAUCUGAGGAUGAAAGCGGGGGACCUUCGGGCCUCGCGCGAUUGGAGCGGCCGAUGGCAGAUUAGGUAGUUGGUGGGAUAAAAGCUUACCAAGCCGACGAUCUGUAGCUGGUCUGAGAGGACGACCAGCCACACUGGGACUGAGACACGGCCCAGACUCCUACGGGAGGCAGCAGUGGGGAAUUUUGGACAAUGGGCGAAAGCCUGAUCCAGCAAUGCCGCGUGCAGGAUGAAGGCCUUCGGGUUGUAAACUGCUUUUGUACGGAACGAAAAAGCUCCUUCUAAUACAGGGGGCCCAUGACGGUACCGUAAGAAUAAGCACCGGCUAACUACGUGCCAGCAGCCGCGGUAAUACGUAGGGUGCGAGCGUUAAUCGGAAUUACUGGGCGUAAAGCGUGCGCAGGCGGUUAUGUAAGACAGAUGUGAAAUCCCCGGGCUCAACCUGGGAACUGCAUUUGUGACUGCAUGGCUAGAGUACGGUAGAGGGGGAUGGAAUUCCGCGUGUAGCAGUGAAAUGCGUAGAUAUGCGGAGGAACACCGAUGGCGAAGGCAAUCCCCUGGACCUGUACUGACG
rnacentral:rRNA from 1 species